UUCGGGGGGGGCAAGCGUUGUUCGGAAUUACUGGGCGUAAAGGGCUCGUAGGCGGCCAACUAAGUCAUACGUGAAAUCCCUCGGCUUAACCGGGGAACUGCGUCUGAUACUGGAUGGCUUGAGUUCGGGAGAGGGAUGCGGAAUUCCAGGUGUAGCGGUGAAAUGCGUAGAUAUCUGGAGGAACACCGGUGGCGAAGGCGGCAUCCUGGACCGAUACUGACGCUGAGGAGCGAAAGCUAGGGGAGCAAACGGG
rnacentral:rRNA from 1 species